rnacentral:rRNA from 1 species
UACGGAGGGUGCGAGCGUUAUUCGGAAUUACUGGGCGUAAAGCGCGUGUAGGCGGGGGGAUAAGUCUGAUGUGAAAGCCCUGGGCUUAACCUGGGAAGCGCAUUGGAAACUGUCUUGCUUGAGUACUGGAGAGGAAGGGGGAAUUCCCGGUGUAGCGGUGAAAUGCGUAGAGAUCGGGAGGAAUACCAGUGGCGUAGGCGCCCUUCUGGACAGUAACUGACGCUGAGACGCGAAAGCGUGGGGAGCAAACAGG